rnacentral:rRNA from 1 species
CGGGGGUAGAGCACUGUUUCGGCUAGGGGGUCAUCCCGACUUACCAACCCGAUGCAAACUGCGAAUACCGAAGAAUGUUAUCACGGGAGACACACGGCGGGUGCUAACGUCCGUCGUGAAGAGGGAAACAACCCAGACCGCCAGCUAAGGUCCCAAAGUCACAGUUAAGUGGGAAACGAUGUGGGAAGGCUCAGACAGCCAGGAUGUUGGCUUAGAAGCAGCCAUCAUUUAAAGAAAGCGUAAUAGCUCACUGGUCGAGUCGGCCUGCGCGGAAGAUGUAACGGGGCUAAACUGUGCACCGAAGCUGCGGCAGCGACGCUUAUGCGUUGUUGGGUAGGGGAGCGUUCUGUAAGCCUGCGAAGGUGUCCUGUGAGGGAUGCUGGAGGUAUCAGAAGUGCGAAUGCUGACAUAAGUAACGAUAAUGCGGGUGAAAAGCCCGCUCGCCGGAAGACCAAGGGUUCCUGUCCAACGUUAAUCGGGGCAGGGUGAGUCGACCCCUAAGGCGAGGCCGAAAGGCGUAGUCGAUGGGAAACGGGUUAAUAUUCCCGUACUUGGUGUUACUGCGAAGGGGGGACGGAGAAGGCUAUGUUGGCCGGGCGACGGUUGUCCCGGUUUAAGCGUGUAGGCUGGUUUUCCAGGCAAAUCCGGAAAAUCAAG